GACGAACCGAGCGAACGUUGUUCGGAAUCACUGGGCUUAAAGGGCGCGUAGGCGGGUGCUCAAGUCCGGGGUGAAAUCCUCCAGCUCAACUGGAGAACUGCCUCGGAUACUGGGCGUCUCGAGUGUGGUAGGGGUGUGCGGAACUAUCGGUGGAGCGGUGAAAUGCGUUGAUAUCGAUAGGAACUCCGGUGGCGAAGGCGGCACACUGGACCGCCACUGACGCUGAUGCGCGAAAGCCGGGGGAGCAAACGGG
rnacentral:rRNA from 1 species